rnacentral:rRNA from 1 species
GAUGAACGCUGGCGGCGUGCCUAAUACAUGCAAGUCGAGCGAACAGACGAGGAGCUUGCUCCUCUGACGUUAGCGGCGGACGGGUGAGUAACACGUGGAUAACCUACCUAUAAGACUGGGAUAACUUCGGGACACCGGAGCUAAUACCGGAUAAUAUAUUGAACCGCAUGGUUCGAUAGUGAAUGACGGUUUUUGUGUCACUUAUAGAUGGAUCCGCGCCGCAUUAGCUAGUUGGUAAGGUAACGGCUUACCAAGGCAACGAUGCGUAGCCGACCUGAGAGGGUGGUCGGCCACACUGGAACGGGAACACGGUCCAGACUCCUACGGGAGGCAGCAGUAGGGAAUCUUCCGCAAUGGGCGAAAGCCUGACGGAGCAACGCCGCGUGAGUGAUGAAGGUCUUCGGAUCGUAAAACUCUGUUAUGAGGGAAGAACAAAUGUGUAAGUAACUAUGCACGUCUUGACGGUACCUAAUCAGAAAGCCACGGCUAACUACGUG